AAAAAAACCCUCACCUUCCUUGUUUGGUUAGGGUUGGAACUAAAAUCUGCAGGACCGACAUAGGAAUACAAGUGCUUGAUUGAUGAUGAUUCAUCCAUAUUACAGAGCAGAUAACGCAGACAAAUCAGAUGGAACAUCAUGAUUGUACACUCUGAAUCUUUCCAGUGCCAAAGAUCACGUAAAAGAUGGCUCCAAAGGCGCUCACCCCUGCUGACAACCAGAACACAUAUCUCCAUCCUGUAACUGAGUGCUGCUCGGAAAUCAAGGAGAAGGAAGGGGGAGCAUAUAAAAAUGUCAACUUUGAUGAUGAGGAAUUAUUUUAAGCAACGGCAGUUGAAACACAAUAUGAAAGUAUGAAACACAGCUUACAUCUCUGGUCAUGUAACCCACAACAAUUGGUGCAAGAACACCAGGGAUGGUCCCAAAAGUGUUUGUGAUUCCUAGAAGUGUACCUGCGUACCUGGAAAAAAAAAAGCAGAAAAGGAGACCUAACUAUUGCAAUAAAUGUAAAGCUUGUAAAGAUAAUUUAAUCUAUAGAUUGAUGGAUAUCAAUUUUAGCAAAGAGCUGUUCAGUUUGUAGUCCUUUAAUCCAAAAAGACCAUUAG